AACUACAUAUAAAAGAGGCAGUAGAAAGGUUACUGUUCACAAGUCGUUUGGGUUGGCUCACAAGCCAAAUGUUAGGUCGGCUCAGUUAGUGGGGAGGCGUUGGAACUUGGAAAUGAAUCAGAAUCUGUCUGUUGCCUUGUUUUAUUUUAUCUUCUUUCUAGACUAAAAUCUGAAAAUCUCUUUCUUCAAAGCUCGGUUUUCAUUUUCAUCCUCAUCUUCACUCGACAAAAGGAAACCCUAGCCCCAUUUCGUCUGUUCUUUUAGCAACAACCAUACUGUCGUGGCCUUCAACGAUAUGUUCCGACAAAGCAUUCACCAUUCGCCUGAAUCUGCGAAGAAGCGAGUUUUCUGCCGGUCUUUGUUAUUUUCUUCAGCUUUAUUUAAGGUAUGUUGUUGUCGUUUCUGUCUAUACAUGAAAAUUUAGCUGGGUUCCUCUUCGUUUACCUUCAUCUAGCUUAGAAGUUUAAAAUUUUGUUCGAUCUUCACUUUUAAUGCUUUCACGAGGAUUAGAGGAGGUUGUUGUCGGUAUAUCAGAGAUUUUUUGGCUGAUUUGGGAGAUAGGGAAGGGCUUGAAUCAAGGAGAGAUGAGAGACAUGAAAGAUCUUCAGGCAAGGUAGAAAAAGCCACCGGAGAAAGGUUUUAACAGUUGAUGAGUCAUCAUUUGCAAAUUGCAAGUAGCUUCUAUCGAUGCUGUUCAUAUAUCUGAUGUUUCAUGAGCAGAAGGAUCAAGUGGCUGUGGAGUUGAUACUUUCAGGUAGCAUUUCCAGAUUUAGAACACCCUAGAUUAUAUGGGAAAAUGGCUAGGAAUUGCAUGUGCAGAACUUGCAAAUACAUAUUAUAGAGAUGAAGUGCGAAGAGUUAAAGCGCAUCUUGAAAGAAAAAAACAUUGGCUCAAUAGAGUUACAUAUUCGUUACUGUUUCAAAGUAAGGGCUAUCUUCCAUCAGGAUGUAGCUCUUCAUAUUGCUUGCCUUCAGGUUGCAUUUAUGAGUUAACUAAGACAAUUUGACGUGAAAUUUUUGUUGAAUGCAUCUUUUUAUUAUAGAGAUAAAUUCACUGGUUUGAUCUUUUCAAAAUUAGUAGAUCGGUGUUCUGCGAUAUACACUUUGGCAUGCUUCUUUACAAUUUAUUAUGUCCAAGUGAAAACUAUAGUUUAACAAGUAAACUAAACUGACAAUCCUUUUGUAUGAAUUAGUUGCAUCAUUACUUGUCAAUUGAUUUCUCCUAGGAGAUAUGUAAAAUCAAUUGCUACGUCCAAGUUUCAGAAGUUCGGUUUUGAGAUUGUAAUUUUUUUAUUUUUUUGAGAAAUAAAUAAAUAAUAAAAUUGUUGAAUCAAAUCAUGUAAGAGAAUAUAGUUCCACAUAUAGAGCCAUGGA